CCCAGUAAGGCUGGGAGAGUGAGUGAACGCACGGUGAUUCACCUCUGCGCUCCUGCCAAACGUGGCAGCGCGGACAGCAGGUAGUAGGGUGUCUUCCCAGCAGAUGGAGUCAGGAGGCAAACAAACUUGCUUGAAAGAAAAAGAUGUCCUUCUGGAGUAAGGGAUUUGAAGAAUGACAAGUAAACAGCUUUAUGAAGCUGCUGCCAGUUGAAGAAGCCCAUUUCAAAUAUGAAAAGCAACAUCAGGAAAACUAUAGAAAUGCUCAAGUGGAUGGAACGCAUAUAAACAAUUUAGACUAGGAUUACUGGGGGAACAGAACAGUUCUGUGCCAUGAGAAACAAAUGUAAAUUAGGAAAGUUGUUACAGGAAGGUGUGUGAGUAUAUUUGAUCAAUGCGGAGGCGUAAAACCAGAAGAGCAGAACUGACAUGAGGCACAAUGUGUGAGUUAUUCAGUAAACUCAGGCUCUGAUGUACUGCAGUGGGUUAGUUAAUGAUGUAAAAAGACCUACUGCAUAACAUGAUACAAGACAUCUUCCCCAUACAUUCCUUUCAUCAGCAAAUACAGAGAAUAUAAAAUACAUCAAUAUCAUUGGUCUUACUCAUAUUUGAAGUCCUGUAAUAGGUGAAGCAACUUCCCACCAGGCAAAAUACUGCAAAUUUCUCAUAUACCUUUCAGUGUCAUGUUGACUCACUUCUCCUUGCUUGAAAUAAGAGAACAGCUGUGCUUGGGUAAGUAUUAAUUUGGAUUAAGCUACAAUGUAAACGCUACUUCCGCUGCCAUUGGACCCUCUGUGAAACCACCUCCAACUUGAAGCUCUAAUUCUACCAAGUAAGUUAAGGAUGGAGAAAGUUUUCAGGAACAGCAUUGUUGGACAUAAUACAUGUUACAGAGACCAAAGAGAAAGUUUAAAGAACGGAUGAGAGAGAAGUGGAAAAGAUUGCAUGUCCGAACAAUUCCUCUAAUGCUUUGGACACACAAGAGUGUUCGUGUUUAGAAAUAGUCUGAGAGAAUAAAUGACAUGAUUGGGAAACAACCUGGUGGAAGUGCCAGGAGGAGACCAUAUCUGGGUCACAAACAACUGAGUGGUGGGAAUUCUGUGUGUGUUUUAUUUCUAAUCCCAGAAACCAUCAAGUCAUCCAAGAAGAAACUGCUGUUUUUUUAAGACAGCCCUUUUCAAAAUUAAUGGAUGAUAUUUUAAUUUACAUAAGCUUUGUUUUUAGAAACCUGAAAAUCAAGACUUCUUAUUUAUUUAUCCACCAUCACACAUCUCAUUAAAAUGAUGUACAAAUUGUCUGAAUGUCACAACAGAUGUAUUUCAAUCACUUGCUUAAUGUACAAUAAUUUAAAUUGGUUUCUUAAUGUACAAUAAAACAUGAGUAAUUA